rnacentral:rRNA from 1 species
ACUCAAAUGAAUAGACGGGGGCCCGCACAAGCGGUGGAGCAUGUGGUUUAAUUCGAUGAUACGCGAGGAACCUUACCAGGGCUUAAAUGUAGAUUGACAGAUUUGGAAACAGAUUUUUCUUCGGACAAUUUACAAGGUGCUGCAUGGUUGUCGUCAGCUCGUGCCGUGAGGUGUCAGGUUAAGUCCUAUAACGAGCGCAACCCCUGUUGUUAGUUGCCAGCACGUAAUGGUGGGAACUCUAGCAAGACUGCCGGUGUAAACCGUGAGGAAGGUGGGGAUGACGUCAAAUCAUCACGGCCCUUACGUCCUGGGCCACACACGUGCUACAAUGGCCGGUACAGAGAGCAGCCACUUAGCGAUAAGGAGCGAAUCUAUAAAGCCGGUCACAGUUCGGAUUGGAGUCUGCAACUCGACUCUAUGAAGCUGGAAUCGCUAGUAAUCGGAUAUCAGCCAUGAUCCGGUGAAUACGUUCCCGGGCCUUGUACACACCGCCCGU